AUCCUUUUGUAGUUUAUAAGCUUGAUGAUGGGGCGUUCACAUGCAUAUGUGAGACGUGCCUCCCUCAAACCUUGUCACGACGUUCACACAUUACUCAUUUGACA